rnacentral:lncRNA from 1 species
AAUCCUUAUAUCGAAGGAUGGAGCCCAGACGGAAGUUGUCCCCACCUCAAACUUGUGCUGCCCUGAUAGACCCAAGGGAGCCCUACAAACUGACAUCAGGAAGCUGGACUGGUGAGUUUUCUUUCCCAGGGAAAAUGGCCAAAGGGAUGUGCCCAGGGGCCCCUGGCCCUGAGCUGGUUCCUCACGGCAAAAAUUCCUUAUAUCGAAGGAUUGAUCCCAGACCAAAGUUGUUCCCUCCUCCAACUUCUUCUGCCCUGAUAGACCCAAGGGAGCCCUAAAAACUGACAUCAGGAACUUGGACUGGCGAGUUUUAUUUCCCAGGGAAAAUGGCCAAAGAAUGUGCCCUGGGGCCCCUGGCCCUGGGCUGGCACCUGACUGCAAAAAAUCCUUAUAUCGAAGGAUGGGGGCCAGUCCAAAGUUGUCGCCACCUCAAACUUGUGCUGCCCUGAUAGACCCAAGGGAGCCCUACAAACUGACAUCAGGAACCUGGACUGGUGAGUUUUCUUUCCCAGGGAAAAUGGAAAAAGGAUGUGCCCAGGGGCCCCUGGCCCUGGGCUGGAACCUGACUACAAGAAUUCCAUACAUCAAAGGAUGGACCCCAGACCGAAAUUGUCCCCACCUCAAAUUUGUGCUGCCUGAUAGACCCAAGGGAUCCGUACAAGCUGACAUCAGGAACCUGGACUGGUGAGUUUUCAUUCCCAGGGAAAAUGGCCAGAGCAUGUGCUCAGAGUCCCUUCCCCGCAGCUGGUGGCUGUCCGUAAAAAAUCCAAACAUCGAAGGAAGUAUCCCAAAAAA